UGGGGAAUAUUGGACAAUGGGCGCAAGCCUGAUCCAGCCAUGCCGCGUGAGUGAUGAAGGCCUUAGGGUUGUAAUGCUCUUUUUGGCGGGGACGAUAAUGACGGUACCCGCAGAAUAAGCCCCGGCUAACUUCGUGCCAGCAGCCGCGGUAAUACGAAGGGGGCUAGCGUUGUUCGGAAUUACUGGGCGUAAAGCGCACGUAGGCGGAUCGGCAAGUCAGGGGUGAAAUCCCGGGGCUCAACCUCGGAACUGCCUCUGAUACUGCCAGUCUAGAGUCCGGAAGAGGUGGGUGGAAUUCCUAGUGUAGAGGUGAAAUUCGCAGAUAUUAGGAAGAACACCGGUGGCGAAGGCGGCCCACUGGUCCGGUACUGACGCUGAGGUGCGAAAGCGUGGGGAGCAAACAGGAUUAGAUACCCCGGUAGUCCCUGAGCGGGCUGGCAAGGCGCAU
rnacentral:rRNA from 1 species